rnacentral:tRNA from 1 species
GGUUCCGUAGUGUAGUGGUUAUCAGGUUCUGCUUCACACGCGAAAGGUCUCCGGUCUGGAUCCCGACGGAACCA